GCGCUGCCUCUGGCUCUAUGCAAGAUGGCCUCUGCCGAAGGCCCUCACUGGCACUGCUCGUGUUUCUAGAAUGCUAGUGCCUUGGUAGUGUUGCUGGUACCACCGGUGAGGCUAUCAGGGACAUCAAAUGACGGACACCUCCACCGCAUCUGGAGAUUCCUGGGUUGCAGGCACUGCCAUUGUUGGAACAAUGAAUCGAGGCUUGAAGUGAAAGAACCAUCUUGAUGUCAUGGCAACAGAAGGCAACAGCAAGGAUAGUAGUGCAAGAACCCAGAAGGGCCAUGAUCAGAGACACAACCCUGCCCAUCAUCAGUGUCCCUUCUAGGGUAAGUUUGAUGUUACGAAACUGCAGAUGAAAUCAUGAAAAUCAGGACAGGGGAUGAAUGAGUAUCAUGCGAAGAGAG
rnacentral:lncRNA from 1 species